rnacentral:rRNA from 1 species
AUUGAACGCUGGCGGCAGGCCUAACACAUGCAAGUCGAACGGUAACAGGGAUCAGCUUGCUGAUUCGCUGACGAGUGGCGGACGGGUGAGUAAUGUCUGGGAAACUGCCUGAUGGAGGGGGAUAACUACUGGAAACGGUAGCUAAUACCGCAUAACGUCGCAAGACCAAAGAGGGGGACCUUCGGGCCUCUUGCCAUCGGAUGUGCCCAGAUGGGAUUAGCUAGUAGGUGGGGUAACGGCUCACCUAGGCGACGAUCCCUAGCUGGUCUGAGAGGAUGACCAGCCACACUGGAACUGAGACACGGUCCAGACUCCUACGGGAGGCAGCAGUGGGGAAUAUUGCACAAAGGGCGCAAGCCUGAUGCAGCCAUGCCGCGUGUAUGAAGAAGGCCUUCGGGUUGUAAAGUACUUUCAGCGGGGAGGAAGGGAGUAAAGUUAAUACCUUUGCUCAUUGACGUUACCCGCAGAAGAGGCACCGGCUAACUCCGUG